rnacentral:rRNA from 1 species
CUAGUAACGGCGAGUGAAGCGGCAACAGCUCAAAUUUGAAAUCUGGCCCCCUCGGGGUCCGAGUUGUAAUUUGCAGAGGGUGCUUUGGUGUUGGCUGUGGUCCAAGUUCCCUGGAACAGGACGUCGCAGAGGGUGAGAACCCCGUACGUGGCCGCCAGCCUUCGCCGUGUAAAGCCCCUUCGAAGAGUCGAGUUGUUUGGGAAUGCAGCUCUAAAUGGGAGGUAAAUUCCUUCUAAAGCUAAAUAUUGGCCAGAGACCGAUAGCGCACAAGUAGAGUGAUCGAAAGAUGAAAAGCACUUUGGAAAGAGAGUGAAACAGCACGUGAAAUUGUUGAAAGGGAAGCGCUUGGAGCCAGACGUGCCCGUAGUUGCUCAGCCGGGGUCUUCCCCGGUGCACUCUUCUGCGGGCAGGCCAGCAUCAGUUUGGGCGGUCGGACAAAAGCCUGCUAAACGUACCUCCCCCCGGGGAGGACUUAUAGGGUAGGUGGCAUACGACCAGCCCGGACUGAG